GACGAACGCUGGCGGCGUGCCUAAUACAUGCAAGUCGAACGCAGUGGGGACGGGUGAGUAACACGUGGGUAACCUCCCAUCAGAGGGGAUAACACUUGGAAACAGGUGCUAAACCGAUACUGAUGGAUGGACCCGCGGUGCAUUAGCUAGUUGGUGGGGGAACGGCGCAACAAGGCCACGAGGCAUAGCCGACCUUACAGGGGGAGUGGCCAGAGUGGGACUGAGACACGGCCUAGUUACCUGCGGGAGGGAGCAGUAGGGAAUCUUCGGGAAUGGACGAAAGUAUGACCGAGCAACGCAGAGUGAGUGAAGAAGGGUGGCGGAUCGAAAAACUCUGUUGUUAGAGAAGGGGUACCUAACCAGAAAGCCACGGCUAACUACUUGCCAGCAGCGCGGUAAUUC
rnacentral:rRNA from 1 species